GAUGAACGCUAGCUACAGGCUUAACACAUGCAAGUCGAGGGGCAGCGAGAAGAAAGCUUGCUUUCUUUGUCGGCGACCGGCGCGCGGGUGAGUAACGCGUAUCCAACCUGCCCACGGCCAGGGAAUAGCCCGCUGAAAAGCGGAUUAAUGCCCUAUGGGGUCCUUUGCAGACAUCUAAUGAGGACUAAAGAUUUCAUCGGCCAUGGAUGGGGAUGCGUCCGAUUAGGUAGUUGGCGGGGUAACGGCCCACCAAGCCUUCGAUCGGUAGGGGUUCUGAGAGGAAGGUCCCCCACAUUGGAACUGAGACACGGUCCAAACUCC
rnacentral:rRNA from 1 species